UACGUAGGUGGCGAGCGUUAUCCGGAAUUAUUGGGCGUAAAGAGCGCGCAGGUGGUUGAUUAAGUCUGAUGUGAAAACCCACGGCUUAACCGUGGAGGGUCAUUGGAAACUGGUCGACUUGAGUGCAGAAGAGGGAAGUGGAAUUCCAUGUGUAGCGGUGAAAUGCGUAGAGAUUAGGAAGAACACCAGUGGCGAAGGCGCUUCUCUGGACUGUAACUGACGCUGAGGCUCGAAAGCGUGGGGAGCAAACAGGAUUAGAUACCCU
rnacentral:rRNA from 1 species